UGUGACAGUAGGUGACAAUGUGUGUGUGCUGUCCUGCACACCUGGACCAGCAAGCUGUCCUGUUUUAAAAAUAUCUGUGAUUUUCUUCUGCCCUUAAUGUAGCCUUUGCUUCCAACAGUUUUGACAGAGACCCCAGAGGAUGAGCUCCCCCAAGAAGUGAAGUGUGGAUACCGGGGAUGCUUUGCAAUCAGUGCAAGCCAUUGCAAGAGUGAGGUAGGAGGUAUCUUCUCCCUGGGAAUGCAGCACUUCACUUCCUUUCAUCUGUUUCUAUAACUUGGAAGAAAAUAGCUUGGAUCAUGGCCAGUGAGCAGGGACUUUGUGGAAACAGAGAGUAAAAGGAGUAAAGUAUCCCCAAGUAA